AUUGAACGCUGGCGGCGUGCCUAACACAUGCAAGUCGAGCGGCAGCGCGGGAGCAAUCCUGGCGGCGAGCGGCGGACGGGUGAGUAACGCUUGGGAAUCUGCCUAUUAGUGGGGGACAACCCGGGGAAACUCGGGCUAAUACCGCAUACGCACUACGGUGGAAAGCCGGGGACCGCAAGGCCUGGCGCUAACAGAUGAGCCCAAGUCGGAUUAGCUAGUUGGUAGGGUAACGGCCUACCAAGGCGACGAUCCGUAACUGGUCUGAGAGGACGACCAGUCACACCGGAACUGAGACACGGUCCGGACUCCUACGGGAGGCAGCAGUGGGGAAUAUUGGACAAUGGGGGAAACCCUGAUCCAGCGACGCCGCGUGGGUGAAGAAGGCCUGCGGGUUGUAAAGCCCUUUCAGUGGGGGAAGAAAAGCCUCGACCUAAUACGUCGGGGUCUUGACGUAACCCAUAGAAGAAGCACCGGCUAACUCUGUGCCAGCAGCCGCCGU
rnacentral:rRNA from 1 species